CGGGCGAGUAAUGCGUGACCAACCUGCCCCAUGCUCCAGAAUAGCUCUUGGAAACGGGUGGUAAUGCUGGAUGCUCCAACUUGACGCAUGUCUUGUUGGGAAAGUGUUUAGUGGCAUGGGAUGGGGUCGCGUCCUAUCAGCUUGUAGGCGGGGUAAUGGCCCACCUAGGCUUCGACGGGUAGCCGGCCUGAGAGGGCGGACGGCCACAUUGGGACUGAGAUACGGCCCAGACUCCUCGGGAGGCAGCAGGC
rnacentral:rRNA from 1 species